rnacentral:rRNA from 1 species
GAGUUUGAUUAUGGCUCAGGAUGAACGCUAGCGAUAGGCUUAACACAUGCAAGUCGAGGGGCAGCAUGAACUUAGCUUGCUAAGUUUGAUGGCGACCGGCGCACGGGUGCGUAACGCGUAUGCAACUUGCCUCGUAGAGGGGGAUAACCCGUUGAAAGACGGACUAAUACCGCGUAUGCUCACAAGGUCGCAUGAUCUAGUGAGGAAAGAAUUUUGCUACGAGAUAGGCAUGCGUCCCAUUAGCUAGUUGGUGAGGUAACGGCUCACCAAGGCAACGAUGGGUAGGGGAACUGAGAGGUUGAACCCCCACACUGGUACUGAGACACGGACCAGACUCCUACGGGAGGCAGCAGUGAGGAAUAUUGGUCAAUGGGCGGGAGCCUGAACCAGCCAAGUCGCGUGAAGGAUGAAGGUCUUAUGGAUUGUAAACUUCUUUUAUAGGGGAAUAACGGCUAGCACGUGUGCUAGAUUGAAUGUACCCUAUGAAUAAGCUCGG